GACGAACGCUGGCGGCGGGCUUAACACAUGCAAGUCGAACGGAAAGGCCCUGCUUUCGUGGGGUGCUCGAGUGGCGAACGGGGGCGUAACACGUGAGUAACCUGCCCUUGACUUUGGGAUAACUUCAGGAAACUGGGGCUAAUCCCAGAUAGCAUCUCCUGUUGCAGGGUGGGCGUUGGAAAGUUUCGGCUGUUGGGGAUGGACUCGCGGCUUACCAGCUUGUUGGUGGGGUAGUGGCUUACCAAGGCAUGGACGGGUAGCCGGCCUGGGAGGGUGACCGGCCACAUUGGGACUGAGGUACGGCCCAGAGUCCUACGGGAGGCAGCAGUGGGGAAUAUUGCACAAUGGGCGGACGCCUGAUGCAGAAACGCCGCGGGCGGGAUGACGGCCUUUGGGUUGUAAACCGCUUUCGCCUGUGACGAAGCGUGAGUGACGGUAAUGGGUAAAGAAGCACCGGCUAACUACGUG
rnacentral:rRNA from 1 species